rnacentral:lncRNA from 1 species
UAUUUAACUGAUAAGCAAUCUGGGGCCCUCACAUUGCAUUUUGUUCCUUACAGGUGGACCCUUCUUGAGAGCUGAGCACCAGGGCUGCAUGGACAGCCCUUCUAGCAGGACAAAUGCCUUUGCCCACAGGGGAGUUGGCUCUCCAUUUUCUGCAGGAAAACAACAUGGUUGAGGAUUCACCAUGCUACAGGGCCAUACAGAUGGAUGGAAAGAUAUGGUGCUUAUCAGACAGAUGAAGAUGGGAUCCAGAGAAGAGUAGGAAAGGAAACGAGGAGGAGAAAGCUAAAGAAAGAAAAAAAAAGAAGAAGGAAGAGAGGAAGGGAGGGAGGAAGGGAAGGACAAAUAUGAGGAACAAAGAAAAAGUACAUUUUAAGUCAACUUGGGAGGAGAAAGAAGCAAGGGAACAAGCAAUUGAGAAGAAACAGGGAUGAAGAAUCAAAAUUAAUCUCCACAUGUAAUUUAGGUAAAGGAAUUUCACUCCAUUCAUUUUAUAAAAUGAAUAAAGCUGCCAUGCAAAUACUGG